GCGAGGUGCCGCAGCGCCGCCUCGCUGCGGAGCAGGGCUGUGGAGCCGCUGUGCUCCGAAGGCGCUUCCCGCCGGGAGCGGGGUGCCGCGCGGUUCGGCGCGUUCCCGGGCGCCGCGCUCGGCCGCGCGUGAGUCGAGGAUUCCUGACUGGAUUGUGUGACUGCUGAGAAAUGGGCUUCACAGAGAUGGAUUCUACCAGUUCUGUAGCAAUAGCGAACUUCACAGUUUUGCAGCUGGAGUAUACUUGCCCACAUUUGAGCCUCUGCGCUACUCCUUUUACACAUUCCAGCUAGUUAGUGCUAAGAAAAUUAACAUCCCUCAUCUCUAAGCCAUCAUGCAGUAUCCUAUUUUCUGAAUUGAUAGUCGACGUCUUGUCCUGCGAGAUCAAAAGUGCUUAGAAAUGUAAUGAGAGGAAAGACCACCACAUUGUGCAGGAAGCAUUCAGUGACAUUCAAGGACCAUGAUUUAAGAACACAAAAGAAAAAUAUCCUAUUGCUGAUUCAAUUGGUAAAGGUUCACGCAGAGAAAGAGUAUGGUGAUAAUGCAAUCUACGGCUGUCUCUAUUCUUCUGGAUAUGCGACAAGACUGCAUGGUUUACAAUAGAGCUAUGAGAAAACCUAGACAAGUUUGAGAGAUUUUUCUGCACCACUUCCCCAUCCAUUGCCAGAUGGAAACAUACUUACCAAAUAAAUGUUCAGAUAUAAAUGUUAGAAAUCUAAGCUAGUACUGUCUUUUUGCAUUGGAUCCCAGCUAAUGGAAUUGAUUGAAGCAAAAGAUUUGGAAAUCCUAACCCAGCAGUGGUUUCACACAAUAAAAUCUGCUGAGUUCAGAUUACAUUUGUCAAAACUCUUUCUCCAGCAAUUGUGUACGACUAAUAGUACAUUGCCACAUCUAAAGGAAAAAGAUAACACUCAUAUGUGAUGGUGCCAUGUGGCGCGGUAUUCCUUUGCAAGAUCUCACUGUUAAUAUGCUGUGAUACGUGAAAGGGCUUAUGUUUGCAGAAUGAAUUUGACUGACAUAUUUAAGCAAGAAUAAAGUAAUCUGUACCAGGAAAAAUGUAAUAAAUGGUGGUAGAACAGUAAGAAAGUUGUUACAUAUAUAGUACCAAAUUUGAAAUAUUUAUCUAUACCUAGCUUCUGUUGAUAGAAGAACAAACUAGAGACUGUUCUGUUCCAUAAACAUUGCAGAAUGGGUGGCUUUACUAAACACAAGAACUAUCAUGUCAGA